GGGGUUGUGGCUCAGUGGUAGAGCACUCACCUAGCAUGUGUGAGGCCCUGGAUUCGAUCCUCAGCAACACUU
rnacentral:tRNA from 1 species